rnacentral:rRNA from 1 species
UACGGGGGGGGCAAGCGUUGUUCGGAAUUACUGGGCGUAAAGGGCUUGUAGGUGGCCAACUAAGUCAGACGUGAAAUCCCUCGGCUUAACCGGGGAACUGCGUCUGAUACUGGAUGGCUGGAGUGUGGGAGAGGGAUGCGGAAUUCCAGGUGUAGCGGUGAAAUGCGUAGAUAUCUGGAGGAACACCGGUGGCGAAGGCGGCAUCCUGGACCAUUACUGACACUGAUGAGCGAAAGCCAGGGGAGCAAACGGG